UUCAUUUUAUAUUACAUUAUUGGAGGGUGUCGUAUCUUUAUACUAUGAAAAGUUUUUAAUGAUUGAUAAAAUUUCGCUGAAAUUCUUGAUUAUAUUUUUCUGCCCACAACUUCAAAUUUAAAACUGUAUUUAAGAAGAUGGAGUUGAAUGACGGUAGAAUCAACUAUUUGUUUUUAUAAGAUCUAAGUUGUAUGGGUGAAACUCUAUCGUUUUGUUUAAUUUUCUACUCCAA
rnacentral:lncRNA from 1 species